rnacentral:rRNA from 1 species
AUUGAACGCUGGCGGCAUGCUUUACACAUGCAAGUCGAACGGUAACAGGCCGCAAGGUGCUGACGAGUGGCGAACGGGUGAGUAAUGCAUCGGAACGUGCCCAGUCGUGGGGGAUAACGCAGCGAAAGCUGCGCUAAUACCGCAUACGAUCUAUGGAUGAAAGCGGGGGACCGUAAGGCCUCGCGCGAUUGGAGCGGCCGAUGUCAGAUUAGGUAGGUGGUGGGGUAAAGGCUCACCAAGCCAACGAUCUGUAGCUGGUCUGAGAGGACGACCAGCCACACUGGGACUGAGACACGGCCCAGACUCCUACGGGAGGCAGCAGUGGGGAAUUUUGGACAAUGGGCGCAAGCCUGAUCCAGCAAUGCCGCGUGCAGGAAGAAGGCCUUCGGGUUGUAAACUGCUUUUGUACGGAACGAAACGGUCCUGGUUAAUACCUGGGGCUAAUGACGGUACCGUAAGAAUAAGCACCGGCUAACUACGUGCCAGCCGCCGCAGUAAGAC